GGCGGUUUGAGUGGCGGCGGCGGGUUUUGGUUACCAGCGAGAUGCAGCAGCAGCGAGAGCAAACACGUCCCUGUAAAAUGGGGCUCAGCAAGGGGAAAGUGGUGUUGGACAGAAGCUCAUCAAUCAGCAGUGAUCUGGAGAGAUGCUCUAUACACACUGGCACUGAGGAGGAUCGCAGGAAUAGCUCUCAGAGCAAAGUCACUGUGGAGGCGCCAGUAUGUGCAGCUCCUGGAGGAGGCGAAGGAGGAGAAGUUUGAGGAAAGGAGAGUCAACCUGCUCAAAGCUCAGGUUAUGCAGCUGGAAAGACAGGUGAUUUUGCUGUCUGAAGGUCUGAGCUCGCAGCUGUGCUGCAGUCAGGAUGUAGAGAAGGCUCUUGAUCCUCUAACACACAGAUUAAGAUCACUGCUGAGCUCUGGAGGUGCUGAUGAGGUGAUCAUAGCUUGGUCUGAGCUCACCCAGCUCGUGGAAAGGUGUGAAGAUGUGAAGCAGAAGCUCCACAGGAAAAUUAAGCAGAAUUCACUCUCUCAAGUGUUGGUGUUGAAGAAGUGCGCUCUUUGAUAAGGAGCUGACCCUGGUGGCCGCUGGCCAUCUGGAUGGAUAGCUGGAUGGAUACUGAGCAUCUGCAGAAGCCCUUUGUGAAGAGAGGGAGAAAGAGAGAGGGAGAGAGAGAGGGAGAGAGAAAGAGAGAGAGAGAGCUCGGGUUUGAGCUAAGCAGAUUCUAGUCUGUGCUGCUGCUCAGAGCCCGUGGCCGACACAUGGAUCACAGUAAUUACGGGGCAGGCCGGGGCCGGUUAUUAGUUUAAGGAAUGUCAGGGGCGUAUAUCAAACCCAAUUUGCUCCGGAGCUUGAGAGGUCACUCAUCUUCCUCUGACUCGCUGCCUCUCUGGCCGGAGCGGGGCGGAUGGCCUUCUCUGAGAGCACACAAAGAAGAAAGAUAAGAUUGGGUUCUGCUCCUGUGUGUUCUUUGAAGUAGCGUUCAGGAAGUGUUCACGGUGCUACGGUUGUUUGUACAAAUCGGGAUUGUUUGUAUUGUUUGUUCUCCAGAUAUGGAACAUCGCUAUCAAAGAGAGAUCAUUUUUUUGGGUUUUGGAGAGAUGAGUAUGCUGGUCAUGUGUUUAUUUGUAGAAAUGGUUGUGAAGAUUGAGACAAAUCUCGUUAAAUAUCAUUUCACCCUUCAGUUUCACACUUGCAAGGCUCGACAUGGCUAGCGUUAAUGGUGAGCUUAUGACUGGAUUCUAAUAGAUCUGGACAGAAGCCUUUGAUGCAAGCCUUUGAAUUGCUUAUUAAUAAAGCAGUCCGUGCUUCAAAUGGUCA
rnacentral:lncRNA from 1 species